UAGCACUUUAUUACCGGAGCUGAAGUCAAAGCCAAUACAACAGAACAACAGAUUUCACAUAACCCAAUUCUCUGAGCACAGAAGUAUUGAAAGGCAAAAUUAAAAUAACAGGAGAUAACCUACACGAAGACAAAGAGGAGACCCAAGCCCCAAACCACUCUGCACAUUUGGUGCUGGGAUUACUGGAUUGUCACACAGGACACGCUGCAAGAAACAGCUGCCAAGAACAGAAGGAGCAACUCCAGCCACAGGUGAUGUCCCGAAGGACUGGCAAACGGCUCAUAUUGUACCUCUGUUUGAGAAGGGAAAAGGGAAAAUGCUGGAAACUACUGACUGAAACAAGAUUGUGCUAGACUUGCUAAAAGUCUACAACGCUAUGCCUUUAUCAAAUAAUAUAUCAGAAUCUGCAAGCCAGAUCAUCAUUACCCUCACCUACAAGCAGAAG